rnacentral:lncRNA from 1 species
AGAAAACGUCCCUGAUUAUCGGCAUUGAAAAACUGAACCAUCGUGAGAGGCGGUGAAAAGGUUUGUGAACUUGGGCAGAGUAGAGAGUGGCGGCGCUGGGUAGGGCAGCGAAGAGUGCGGCUCCUCUGGACAGGAAGACCUCCAGAAAUCUGGCAGAGAAACACCUGUUCCUCUGGCGGUGGUAAAGCGCGAGUUCUCGCGACUUCCAAGCUCAACACCGCACUAAAAACCCAAACAAAACAAAGAAACAAAGAGAAACAAAACGAAACAAAAAGAAAGAAAAACAAAACAAAGAAAAA